rnacentral:pre_miRNA from 1 species
AGUACAACUACUGGGUCAUAUGGUAAGACUAUGUUUAUCUUUGUAGGAAACUGCCAAACUGUCUUCCAAAGUAGCUAUACUAUUUUGCAUUCUCACCAGCAAU